CCCUGGGCCCGUGAAGCACUCUGCAUGGAGAUGUUGUCCCCACUGACCGCUGCGUGGACAUUCGCACGUUCUCAAUGUCAUCACUUGAGUUACCUCGUCUUUUCUCAAAGAGUGGUACUUCCUAGAACGACCUGGCGGCGUGAGAAGUAGCAGCUCACCGCAGAUACUGUGAUGACGACCCCAGAAGGACCAGACGAGUGCUACCUGAUAUCCGAUUGCUGCAGUCUCACUUCCCUGCCUUCGCUGGAAGGAAAAUGUGAUAGCGUGUACACAGCUCUGAAACACUCAGACUCGGGAGAUGCGAAAUGUGGAUGUGCUGCGCUGCCUUUGGUGACUCACACCACCCUUCCGUGGUUCUGCUUUCCCCGGAAAUUCCUUCUAGACUGUCACCUCUCUGGGGAAGGCACUUGCUUUUAUCGUGUGAUCCUACGGUGCCUAAUACGAUAGGACCCAACCUCAGGAGUCCUGAGGCUGAAGCCCUUUCCUGGAGCGGCAGUCACCCACCUGAGCCACAGUGCCGUGCUUGCCUUCCCCGCAGUUCCUUGCAAGAGGUAACCUAAAAAACCCCCAACAAACUAGCAAUUUAAUCCUGUGUUGGCAUCAAUGUAGGCCGUCAGCAAUGUGGAAGCUUACCCUAAAUGAGGAAUAAAUAGUUCGUGUGGCCCAGCACUCAGAGGAGGUACGUUCUCCGUGUAUUUCAGAGACUUGCUGCCAGUAGAGACGUGCGAGAUUUCCAGGCUAUCUUCAUUCCCCUUCCCACAUGCUCUGCCUCCCUUCCUCAGUCUCUGUCAUUCCCAUUUCUACAUCC